GAGUUUGAUCAUGGCUCAGAUUGAACGCUAGCGGGAUGCUUUACACAUGCAAGUCGAACGGCAGCGCGGACUUCGGUCUGGCGGCGAGUGGCGAACGGGUGAGUAAUGUAUCGGAACGUGCCCAGUAGCGGGGGAUAACUACUCGAAAGAGUAGCUAAUACCGCAUACGCCCUACGGGGGAAAGGGGGGAUCUUAGGACCUCUCACUAUUGGAGCGGCCGAUAUCGGAUUAGCUAGUUGGUGAGGCAAAGGCUCACCAAGGCGACGAUCCGUAGCUGGUUUGAGAGGACGACCAGCCACACUGGGACUGAGACACGGCCCAGACUCCUACGGGAGACAGCAGUGGGGAAUUUUGGACAAUGGGGGCAACCCUGAUCCAGCCAUCCCGCGUGUGCGAUGAAGGCCUUCGGGUUGUAAAGCACUUUUGGCAGGAAAGAAAUCGCACGGGCUAAUACCCUGUGUGGAUGACGGUACCUGCAGAAUAAGCACCGGCUAACUACGUGCCAGCAGCCGCGGUAAUACGUAGGGUGCAAGCGUUAAUCGGAAUUACUGGGCGUAAAGCGUGCGC
rnacentral:rRNA from 1 species